AAGGUUGUGAGAAAGCAAACAUUCCAGAAACCUCAGAGACAGGUUGUGAACAAAAUGAUGAACAAAACUCCCUCUUUGGCUACCAGAAAGCAGCCAGUUCUCAUUUGGGCCUUCAAACACAACAGAACUGCAAGAACACGAGAUGGG